rnacentral:rRNA from 1 species
UACGAAGGGGGCUAGCGUUGUUCGGAAUCACUGGGCGUAAAGCGUAUGUAGGCGGAUCGUUAAGUCGGGGGUGAAAUCCCGAGGCUCAACCUCGGAACUGCCUUCGAUACUGGCGAUCUUCGAGUCCGGGAGAGGUGAGUGGAACUCCGAGUGUAGAGGUGAAAUUCGUAGAUAUUCGGAAGAACACCAGUGGCGAAGGCGGCUCACUGGCCCGGUACUGACGCUGAUAUACGAAAGCGUGGGUAGCAAACAGG